rnacentral:pre_miRNA from 2 species
AGUAUAAUUGCUGGGUCAUAUGGUAAUUAUUUGUUCCAUUUUUUUGAGGAAUCCCCAUACUGUUUUCCAUAGUGGCUGCACCAUUUUACAUUCCCACCAGCAAU